rnacentral:rRNA from 1 species
GAUGAACGCUGGCGGCGUGCUUAACACAUGCAAGUCGAGCGAGAGAGUUCUUCGGAACAAUCUAGCGGCGGACGGGUGAGUAACACGUGGGCAACAUGCCUCAUAGAGGGGAAUAGCCUUCCGAAAGGAAGAUUAAUACCGCAUAACAUCGUUGAAGGGCAUCCUUCGAUGAUCAAAGGGGCAAUCCGCUAUGAGAUGGGCCCGCGGCGCAUUAGCUAGUUGGGGAGGUCACGGCUCACCAAGGCGACGAUGCGUAGCCGACCUGAGAGGGUGAUCGGCCACAUUGGGACUGAGACACGGCCCAGACUCCUACGGGAGGCAGCAGUGGGGAAUAUUGCACAAUGGGGGAAACCCUGAUGCAGCAACGCCGCGUGAGUGAUGACGGCCUUCGGGUUGUAAAGCUCUGUCUUUGGGGACGAUAAUGACGGUACCCAAGGAGGAAGUCACGGCUAACUACGUGCCAGCAGCCGCCGUAA